GGGGACAACAGCUGGAAACGGCUGCUAAUACCGCAUAAGGCCACGACCUCGAGUGAGGAUGUGGUAAAAGAUUUAUCGCACAAAGAUGGACUCGCGUCCCAUUAGCUAGUUGGUGAGGUAACGGCCCACCAAGGCGACGAUGGGUAGCCGACCUGAGAGGGUGAUCGGCCACACUGGAACUGAGACACGGUCCAAACUCCUACGGGAGGCAGCAGUGAGGAAUAUUGCACAAUGGGCGAAAGCCUGAUGCAGCAACGCCGCGUGAGUGAUGAAGGCCUUUGGGUCGUAAAACUCUGUCCUUGGGGAAGAAAAAAAUGACGGUACCCUUGGAGGAAGCCCCGGCUAACUACGUGCCAGCAGCCGCGGUAAUACGUAGGGGGCAAGCGUUAUCCGGAAUUAUUGGGCGUAAAGAGUGCGUAGGUGGUUUUGUAAGCGUAGGGUGAAAGGCAGUAGCUCAACUAUUGUUAGCCCUGCGAACUGUGAGACUUGAGUGCAGGAGAGGAAAGUGGAAUUCCUAGUGUAGCGGUGAAAUGCGUAGAUAUUAGGAGGAACACCAGUGGCGAAGGCGACUUUCUGGACUGUAACUGACACUGAGGCACGAAAGCGUGGGUAGCAAACAGGAUUAGAUACCCUGGUAGUCCACGCCGUAAACGAUGAGUACUAGGUGUCGGGGUUUAAAGACUUCGGUGCCGCAGUUAACGCAUUAAGUACUCCGCCUGGGGAGUACGCACGCAAGUGUGAAACUCAAAGGAAUUGACGGGGACCCGCACAAGCAGCGGAGCAUGUGGUUUAAUUCGAAGCAACGCGAAGAACCUUACCAGAACUUGACAUCCCUCUGACCGGUCCUUAAUCGGGCCUUCUCUUCGGAGCAGAGGAGACAGGUGGUGCAUGGUUGUCGUCAGCUCGUGUCGUGAGAUGUUUGGGUUAAGUCCCGCAACGAGCGCAACCCUAAUCACUAAUU
rnacentral:rRNA from 1 species